AUGGCGGCCUACCUCCCCCUCGCCGUCCUCGUGGCCCUCCUCGCCGCCACCGGCGCCAGCGCCCACGGCUACAGCCAGACCCCCUCGCCGACGCCUGCACCGGCUGCCAAGUGCGACAAGGUGAUGCUCAAGGUGGAGGGCAUGGUGUACUGCCAGAGCUGCACGCACCGGAACUCAUGGUGCCUCGACGGCGCGACGCCGCUGCCGGGGGCGAAGGUGACGGUCACCUGCCGCGACGCCAAGAACCGCGUCAUGGCCUCGCGGACGCCCGUGGCCGACGGCAAGGGCUACUUCCUCGCCGAGUUCGACGUCGCCGAGAAGGCCGACUACUAUAAGGGGGACCCCGCCAAGGCCUGCUUCGUGCGCCUGCUCGCGUCGCCGGACCGCAAGUGCGACGACCUCACCAACGUCAACUACGGCAUCGAGGGCGCGCCGCUCCGCCACGAGGGCAAGCGGUGGUCCGGCCAGGGGUACGAGAACGUCGUGUGCGCCGCCGGCCCGCUCUCCUUCAAGCCGGACACCUGCGCGCCCAGGGGCCACUACUGA
rnacentral:rRNA from 1 species